rnacentral:rRNA from 1 species
CGAGAAAUCAUUUCUUCAAGUUUGCGGACAAGAAGAGGUGGUGGAAAGUGGCGAAAGGGUGAGUAACGCGUGGGCAAUCUGCCCUUAAGUUCGGGACAGCUCGCCGAAAGGCGAAUUAAUACCGAAUGUGGUCGUGUCACGCAUGUGACACUUUCUAAAGGUGGGGAUCUUCGGACCUGCCGCUUAUGGAUGAGCCCGCGUACUAUCAGCUUGUUGGUAAGGUAAUGGCUUACCAAGGCUAAGACGGUUAGGUGGUCUGAGAGGAUGGUCACCCACACUGGGACUGAGACACUGCCCAGACUCUUACGGGAGGCUGCAGUCGAGAAUCAUUCGCAAUGCGCGAAAGCGUGACGAUGCGACGCCGCGUGCAGGAUGAAGGCCUUCGGGUCGUAAACUGCUGUCAGAAGGGAGUAAUUAUCAAAGAGCUAAUACCUCUUUGAUUUGAUAGUACCUUCAGAGGAAGCCACGGCUAACUCUGUGCCAGCAGCCGCGGUAAUACAGAGGUGGCGAGCGUUGUUCGGAUUUACUGGGCGUAAAGGGUGCGUAGGCGGUACCGUAUGUCGGGUGUGAAAGCCCACCUUUCAUGGGUGGAACUGCAUUCGAAACUGCGGAACUAGAGUACGGGAUAGGAGAGCGGAAUUCAUGGUGUAGCGGUGAAAUGCGUAGAGAUCAUGAAGAACACCGGUGGCGAAGGCGGCUCUCUGGAACGAUACUGACGCUGAGGCACGAAAGCUGGGGGAGCGAAGAGGAUUAGAUACCCUCGUAGUCCCAGCCGUAAACGGUGUACACUUGGUGUAGGUCGGUUCACCCCGAUCUGUGCCGGAGCUAACGUGUUAAGUGUACCGCCUGGGGAGUACGGUCGCAAGGCUAAAACUCAAAGGAAUUGACGGGGGCCCGCACAAGCGGUGGAGCAUGUGGCUUAAUUCGAUGCAAUGCGAAGAACCUUACCUGGGCUUGACAUGCCGACUCUUCGGAGGUGGAUGCGAAAGCAUUCUUUAUGGACACAGGUGCUGCAUGGCUGUCGUCAGCUCGUGCCGUGAGGUGUUGGGUUAAGUCCCGCAACGAGCGCAACCCUUGUGAUUAGUUGCCACUUUUUCAGAAAUGGAAGAAGCACUCUAAUCAGACUGCCUGUGAUAAGCAGGAGGAAGGUGGGGAUGACGUCAAGUCAGUAUGGUCCUUAUGCCCAGGGCUGCACACGUGCUACAAUGGGCGGUACAAAGGGAAGCAAGACCGCGAGGUGGAGCAAAUCCUCAAAACCGUCCCCAGUUCGGAUUGGAGUCUGCAACUCGACUCCAUGAAGCCGGAAUCGCUAGUAAAGGCGUAUCAGCUACGACGCCUUGAAUACGUUCCCGGGCCUUGUACACACCGCCCGUCACAUCACGAAAGCCGAUUGCACCCGAAGUCGCUGAUCCAACCCGUAAGGGAGGAAGGUGCCGAAGGUGUGAUUGGUAAUUGGGAUGAGGUCGUAACAAGGUA